AAUGAGAAAAUGGAGAAGAGGUACACUGCGCCUUCUCCAGAACCCAGCUGUGUCUCUUUGAAAAGUAAUGCAUCUAUAGUUAUGCCUCCUAAUAUCAGUGAUGAAGCAGUGAACCUCUGACCCCAGCCUGAAGAAACCCAAAACCACAUCUCCAGAACCAAGCUGUGUGUCUAUGAAGAGUCAAGCAUUCUUACUUAAGCCUUCGGAUCUCAGCUUUGGAGCAGUGACCUCUGACCUGAGUUUCUGCAGACAGUCUAGACCAUCAGAAUACUUCGAAUGCUCUCAGUCCAGAAAGAGAAUCAGAACACAAAGAGUCAUAACAGAAACCAAUUCUGCUCAGACUGGAGACCUGCAUAAACCAGUACAUAAUGAACUACAAAGAGUCAAAGACCAGCACAAAACAAAUAUGAAGAACAAAUAUGAGAGAUUAUUUGAGGGAACCAAGCUUAAACAAAAUCCAACUGCCCUGAACAGGAUCUACACACAGCUUUACAUCAUAGAGGGAGAGAGAGAAGGAAUGAAUGAAGAGCAUGAGGUUUUACAGAUGGAGAAAACAGCCAGAACACAACCCUCACAAGACACUCCAAUCUAUUGCAAUGACAUCUUUAAAGCCUCAGCUGAAGCAGGA